AGAGUUUGAUCCUGGCUCAGAUUGAACGCUGGCGGCAUGCCUUACACAUGCAAGUCGAACGGCAGCACGGGGGCAACCCUGGUGGCGAGUGGCGAACGGGUGAGUAACAUAUCGGAACGUGCCCUGGAGUGGGGGAUAACUAGUCGAAAGAUUAGCUAAUACCGCAUACGAUCUACGGAUGAAAGUGGGGGAUCGCAAGACCUCAUGCUCGUGGAGCGGCCGAUAUCUGAUUAGCUAGUUGGUAGGGUAAAAGCCUACCAAGGCGACGAUCAGUAGCUGGUCUGAGAGGACGACCAGCCACACUGGGACUGAGACACGGCCCAGACUCCUACGGGAGGCAGCAGUGGGGAAUUUUGGACAAUGGGGGCAACCCUGAUCCAGCAAUGCCGCGUGUGUGAAGAAGGCCUUCGGGUUGUAAAGCACUUUUGUCCGGAACGAAACGGUCCGAGCUAAUAUCUUGGGCUAAUGACGGUACCGGAAGAAUAAGCACCGGCUAACUACGUGCCAGCAGCCGCGGUAAUACGUAGGGUGCAAGCGUUAAUCGGAAUUACUGGGCGUAAAGCGUGCGCAGGCGGUUGUGCAAGACAGAUGUGAAAUCCCCGGGCUUAACCUGGGAAUUGCAUUUGUGACUGCACGGCUAGAGUGUGUCAGAGGGGGGUAGAAUUCCACGUAGCAGUGAAAUGCGUAGAUAUGUGGAGGAAUACCGAUGGCGAAGGCAGCCCCCUGGGAUAACACUGACGCUCAUGCACGAAAGCGUGGGGAGCAAACAGGAUUAGAUACCCUAGUAGUCC
rnacentral:rRNA from 1 species